AGGCAAGCUGAGGACAGAAUUCUGCUGAUUCCCGCUGCCUGCUCAGUGACACAGUCAUGCACAUCUCUUGAAUUUCUUCUCAGCUUUCCUGCCAUCCGUGUGAUUUUGAACAAGGAAUCUUAAUAAUACAAGGGCUUCCAGUCACAUUGCAGUGCAUAGAAAUGCAGCUCCCUGACCAGCUAUUUGGCAGCCAUGAGAUCUCAGAAAGCUGGACCUAGGUAGGUACUCUUUUGAUCACGUGAAAUCUCUAAAUGAGAAACUUUGCUUAUUUCAGUUCAUGGAGGGCUCCCCAGUGAAAAGUGAGCUUACAUUUUUUGUUAUGUAUGUGGACUGAGGCUCCGAGUUAGAUUUAAUCUGAUUGAAAAGAAACAACAACAACAAAAAUGCAGCAAUUCUUGUGUACUCUCAAAGUUGAGUAGUUUUAUUUCUACCACAGACGCA
rnacentral:lncRNA from 1 species